ensembl:lincRNA
GAGGGCCACGGCAGCACUUUCCGACGGGGUAGACAUUCAGUGUGCCCAUUGAAAGUGCCGAUCCUUUCCCCCUCCCAAUGGAAACCGAAUUUGAGCUGGUGUAUUCAUUACGUCAGCUUUCUUUCCUGAUUCAAAAUCUCCACUUUCGAACCGUUUCAAAUGGUGGAUUUUCCAGCGAAUCCUUUUCACACACCAUAUAUAUUCCAGAGUUCACCAUGGCCAGACCAACAAUCUCCAGAGUACCUUCAGGUUGCGCAUGACUGGAACUGCUCAUCUCAUCCUGAACAACAUGUUCGUCCACUUCCACAAGCUUUCACUGGCGAUCCUACUCACGGUCUCCUACUCAAUCGUUCAGGGUGCCGGCGCAGCCGGGGCCUCUCGGGCAGUCUCCUCAGGACUGUGCGAAGCACUUCCAUGGAUGAUGGAUGAUCUCGAAAUUAUUUCAUGGGAAGUGUGGAGCCAACACCAGUGUCAAUUGGUUCCACAUGAUCUCAUCAAAAACAAUUUGCCCAGGAUUCACCAGCUCUCAAGGAUGAGGAUGGAUAACUGCCUCAUGGAGAAAUCGGUUGCGGACAUGUACAUUCCCUUCAUGGAGCAAUUGCCCAAGAAAAACUCUGAUCGUGACCUUAAGAAGAAAAAAGUGCUCCACACCAUGGUCCACGUGUCUGAAAACAACUGUGUAAACACCGAGCCACAACAUCGAAUGACCAAGAGAGUUUUGAAUGAGUUGGCGAAACGCAAGGAAGAAGUAAGUUCAGACAUUGUGCACGUAAUGACAGACACGAACACGGACACAAAUUGCAAUAUCAAUCAGUCGGCUGUUUGUAGAAAGCAUCAUCACUCGAAGUUAAACAGGACAAUUAAUCGAAACACAAAUUAGUGUCAUUGCAUCAUCAGGAUGGCCGAGAGGAAAGAAAAAAAACUCGCCUCUAAGCUAUCUAGCCUAGGUUUGAAUCCCGACCCAGCUGUAGACUGCCAUUCCGCAUUUCACGGGCAUUAAACGGGAUUCCCCAUCUUCCAGCGUUUGCUGGUGGAUGUUAAACAUCCUACGGCGUCCGUUGUGAAGAGUAGGCGAGCUAUCGCCAGCACCAUUAACUAAUUCGUGCUCUAACCAAUAGAGGGCAUUGCAUCAGCAGCACGGUUAUGCCCGAGCCAACGAAGCGACCCUGCAGUGUUGUGCUGCAGACGAACGAAGAAAAUGGUGAUGUAGAGAAUGUAGAUCAUGAAAUGGCCAGGUUUUAGAUUAUUUUAUCAUGAAUUAGACAUUUGCUUUGGUUAAAUGAAUAAUUUACCGUCAUUUAUUUGCUUCUUCUCCCCUGAUGUUGUGUACAGGUGCAAAAUGCGAACAAGCAUGAAAUCUGCUCCGCCGCAAAUGGCCUGAGGAAGUUGAAGAAACUGUGUCCUGAAAAAUAUUGAAGAAGAAAAAAGAAGAUUAGGAUUGUCGUCGACAAAUAAAUGAAUAAAAAAAAUUGUAGAGGGAGGCGACAUGUUGAAAGUUAUGUGUUUAAGUGAAGCGACGACUUGUAUGUUUACAAUUCAGUUUUAUAGUUCAUAGGAUGAUGAUAAAACAUGGGUUGAUGGGACUAAAUCACGUGAUACACCGUGAGGUUAAAAAAAAAAAAGGACAAAAUACUCAUCGUACCUCAUUAUAUUUUGUAACUUAUUCACCUCAGUGCUUAUUUAUUGUUGUGCUUCUGUAUUUAUUUGAAUUCACUAUGAAACAAUGUCAACCAAAGACCGUACGUGGCUGUACAAGAAGGUAUUUUUUUUUAAUGGAAAAUUAAUUUAUUUAAAUUAUAUUUAUGAACGUGAUAUUUGUUUGAACUGAUAAUUUAUUAAUAAUUUAUUUCCCUUAAUUUAUACCCUACGAUGGAAACGGUAAUUCUUUUACAUACGAU